UAUAGUAUAGAUAGAAUUAGAGCACUUUUCAUUUUGGCGAUAAUUGUGUUUUAAAAGGUUUAUCUUUAGAUAAAGUCCCCCUCUCUUUUUCCACAUCUCUCUAGAUAAGUCUCUAUACCUGCAUUAUUAUUAUUAUUAUUAUUAUUAUUAUUAUUAAGAAUUCUUCAAAGCUGUUGUUUGAUGAUUCGUGUUCAUUAAUGCUUCCUAUUUGUGAUUUAUUUUUUAUAAUUUGAUAUUGCCUGCGAUUUCUUCUACUAUGAGAGGUCACUUUUUCUGCAGUAGACUAUGCGUAUUCAUGGGGGCCAUUGCUGCUUGUUUGUUGAACUGCAUCGUCUAAUUUAUGAUUUUUGUUAUUUGUAUUUUCUAGGUUUCGUUUCUAGUUUUCUCCACAUGUGGGUUUUGGUUUUAUUGAUGUCUUGUUCUAUUGUGAAGGCCAUUGUUGUUCGUUCUAUGCCCCUACAUCUUCGGAUUUGUAAUUUUUGUUAUUUAUAGUUUUCAUCUCAUGUGGUUUUUGGAUUAAUCGGUCUUCGAUCUAUGUGAAAAACUAUGAAAUUUAAGAUCGGUGCCUUCGUAGUUUUUACUUCUCAUUGUUUUGUAAGGGAGUUCUCUAAUUGGAAUUGGAACAGCUGUUUUAUUGUUUUGAUACUCGAUUAAAAAAAAAAAAAAACAAGGGCAAAUCAUAUUCUCCCUCCUUCUCUAAACUAUACGUUUGAAAGUUUGGAUUUGUAAGCACAUUAGCAAGUGGAAUUGUUACCUUGGCCAUGUGAGACAUAAUUAGAUGUUUUACAAAUAAUAUUUCACUUUCCUCCUUUUUUUUCCAGGUAAUUGAAGGGGGUUAGGGGUUCUGCUGUUCAAAUGGAUUCAUUAUCGCCUUCUACCAAGGCUGCUCCUGCUCAGGCUCAUUGACUUCUAAUCAAGGAUAGAAAGAGGGGAAUAACAGAUGCUGGAGGAAUUGUUCCCCAUGAUGAAAGAGAAGCGAGGAGGAAACUUUGGGGGAUGUAUCUUCUUGCCAUCCCAAUUUGAGAGCACCAAAAUGUGAUGAUUCUUUAUCAUGGACAAAUCUAGAGCUGCGAAAAGACCAUGUGUUCCACAUUGAAUCCAGAGCACAAAACUGUCAUGCAGGGUAAUUCCACUAGACAAAGUUCUGGGGAAUUUAUACUCGAAACAAACGGGAGGAGGGCGCCGACAUGCAUCUGGCCAAGAGAAUAGUUCAGAAUAAACAAUUCAGUACAUAUGAAGAGGCAGAUGAUGAGUAUGAUUUUGAUCAAGCACCAAGAAAGAAGAAAAAGCAAAAAGGAAAAUCUGCAUUAGGGCAAAAAUUAACAGAGAAUACCAGUUUCCAGCAGCUAUUAGUGACCCAACAAGAGCGAUGCCGCUUAUGCUUUGAGAAUCCCAAUAGACCAAAACAUCUUGUCGUAUCCAUUGCUAAUUUCACAUACUUGAUGCUACCACCAUGGCGACCUGUUGUUGACGGACAUUGUUGCAUUUUGCCAAUGCAGGUAAAUUGGUCAUGUUUAUCUCUUGGGGGAUGUGCACCAUAAUCCAUCAGACUAUGAUAAAGCCGUCGACCGAUGGCAUGAAGGAUCGACUCGGAACCUUGAUAAUGAUGCAUGGAAUGAAAUCUGUACCUUCAAAAAAUGUCUCAUUAGAAUAUUUGCUGAACAAGGACAGGAUGUGAUUUUCAUCGUGACUGCAAUGGUAAUGCCACAACGGCGGCGUCACUGCUUGGUUGAAUGUGUACCUAUACCACGUGAUGUCUCCCCUAAAGCCGCCAUGUAUUUUAAAGAGGCAAUUGAGAGUUUCAAUGGAGUAUGGAGCGAGCCCAAUUCGAUAAAACUUAUAGAUACAAGCGUCAAAGGGUUGCGUCGUUCGAUCCCAAAAAGCUUUCCUUAUUUCCAUGUCGAAUUUGGUUUGGAAAAGGGUUUUGUAUAUGUAAUUGAUGAUGAAUAUGAAUUGGAGCUCACUAUGGGCCUGAACAUCAUUAGAUCCAUACUUAGUCUCCCAUAGGAAGAUAUGUAUAUGUAAUUGAUGAUGAAUAUGAAUUCGAGCUCACUAUGGGCCUGAACAUCAUUAGAUCCAUACUUAGUCUCCCAUAGGAAGAUAGGUGCAGGGAGCAUCAAUCAGUUGAGGCCCAAAAACAAGCCCUUUCAAGUUUUGCUGGUAAGUGGCAAACUUUUGAUUGGACUAGGCUACUAUAACUUUCUGGGAUUGUGGUAAUGUCAACCUUUUGAUUGGACUAUUUAGGAAUCUCUUGUUUGUUGUUAUGAAAAAUAUUGUAAUAUACAAUUGUUUUGGUUUUGGUUUUGAAUUUGGCUUCUGUUGAGGAUGAAGUUAUAAUA